rfam:Ovis aries breed Texel chromosome 14, whole genome shotgun sequence.
UCCCUGGUGGCUCAGACGGUAAAGCGUCUGCCUGCCGUGUGGGAGACCCGGGUUCGAUCCCUGGGUUGGGAA